UACGUAGGGUGCAAGCGUCGUCCGGAAUUAUUGGGCGUAAAGAGCUCGUAGGCGGUUUGUCGCGUCUGCUGUGAAAAUCCAGGGCUUAACCCUGGACCUGCAGUGGGUACGGGCAGACUGGAGUGCGGUAGGGGAGAUCGGAAUUCCUGGUGUAGCGGUGAAAUGCGCAGAUAUCAGGAGGAACACCGGUGGCGAAGGCGGAUCUCUGGGCCGUAACUGACGCUGAGGAGCGAAAGCAUGGGGAGCGAACAGG
rnacentral:rRNA from 1 species